GUGACUCUCCAACCCUAUGUUAUAUAACCUUUGUUGCUUUGGCGAGCCGCCUCGGCCGCUGGCUUCGGCUAGCGAGCGCUCGCCAGAGGACCCCAAACUCUGAAUAUUAUUAUCGUCUGAGUACUAUAUAAUAGUUAAAACUUUCAACAACGGAUCUCUUGGUUCUGGCAUCGAUGAAGAACGCAGCGAAAUGCGAUAAGUAAUGUGAAUUGCAGAAUUCAGUGAAUCAUCGAAUCUUUGAACGCACAUUGCGCCCCGUGGUAUUCCGCGGGGCAUGCCUGUUCGAGCGUCAGUACAACACUCAAGCUCUGCUUGGUAUUGGGCCCCGCCGGGAACGGCGGGCCUUAAAAUCAGUGGCGGCGCCAUCUGGCUCUAAGCGUAGUAAUACCCCUCGCUAUAGAGUCCCGGUGGAUGCUGGCCAGCAACCCCCAACUUUCUAAGUUUGACCUAGGAUCAGGUAGGGAUACCCGCUGAA
rnacentral:rRNA from 1 species